rnacentral:rRNA from 1 species
UAGUCAAUGCUCGCAAGAGUGAACUAGCUAACUGAAAUCAUAUAUGUGUCAUAUGUGAUAAAGUAAGGGAAAAUAAUGAUAUUACCUUAUUAUUAGUGUUGUCCAAAACUGGUGCCAGAAGACUCGGUAAGGCCAGAGACGCGAACGUUAGUCGUCCUAAUCAGGCGUAAAGGGUUUGUAGGCUGCUUUAAAAGUUUUAUUUUUAAUAUAGCUAAAAUAAAGAUAAGAUCAAUUAAAGCUAGAAUCAAAUAGAGGGUAAACCAAAUAAUACUUAGAGUAGGGCCGAUAUCCAUAAAUACUAGGUGGAAUACUAAAGGUGAAAGCUUUUUAUCUACUAAUGAUUGACGCUGAGAAACGAAGGUGAGGAAAGGAAACAGGAUUAGAUACCCACAUACCCCUCUCUGUCAACGAUGAAUGGUGGCUUGCUAAUUGAAUAAAACAUUAAAAAUUUAAUGUAAUUAUAAUAAAAAAUUGGUAGCGAUGUUAACACGAUAACCAUUCCGCCUUGUGAGUACGACUGCAAAGUUGAAAACA